rnacentral:rRNA from 1 species
AUUGAACGCUGGCGGCAUGCUUUACACAUGCAAGUCGAACGGCAGCGCGGGCUUCGGCCUGGCGGCGAGUGGCGAACGGGUGAGUAAUACAUCGGAACGUGCCCGGUAGUGGGGGAUAGCUCGGCGAAAGCCGGAUUAAUACCGCAUACGACCUGAGGGUGAAAGCGGGGGAUCUUCGGACCUCGCGCUAUUGGAGCGGCCGAUGGCAGAUUAGCUAGUUGGUGGGGUAAAGGCCUACCAAGGCGACGAUCUGUAGCUGGUCUGAGAGGACGACCAGCCACACUGGGACUGAGACACGGCCCAGACUCCUAAGGGAGGCAGCAGUGGGGAAUUUUGGACAAUGGGCGAAAGCAUUAUCCAGCAAUGCCGCGUGUGUGAUGAAGGCCUUCGGGUUGUAAAGCACUUUUGGCGGGAACGAAAAGGACUGUGCCAAUACCACGGUUCGAUGACGGUACCCGCAGAAUAAGCACCGGCUAACUACGUG